CUCAUUCCCACUUUUCCUUAAAACAUCUCUCUUCCAUCGACACAUUUCAUUUUCCCUUUCUAUUAAAAUUUCCAAAACCAUAACCCCUCUCACCGCCUCCUCUCCUCUCUACAUUCAAUCCCCUUUGCUUUUUAAUGGUGGGAUGGGAUGGGCUAUUGGUUACUUGGCUACGAUUUGGGGUCUGGAAGAACUCGUGUUCCCAGAUGUACCGCAAGUGGGGACUCUAGGCUAUGAAGGCCAAGAAUGGGGGCAAAAUUCCAACCCACGAAAAAAUAUUCGUAGCAGCUGACCAGAUGUAAUCUUUUUUUAAUUAUUUAAUUUAUUCUCAAUUUUAGUUCUUAUUCAUUGAAAUUGAAGGAUAUCUGGAAUUUUGCCUCUUUGAAGGUAGUCCCUUUUGAGUGAUCACUAUUAUUUUUGUCUAUACGUGAAAUAAUACAUUUAAUGGAUUUUGUAAUUUUUUUUAUGUGAUUCAUUAUAAAUAGUUGUGUAUUUUAGCAAUACGAAUGGGUAGUAGAUUCUAGACAUUUUUGGUUUAUUCCGUCAAAACUCUGACAAAUGGGAACAAAAAUUGAAACUUUAGGGGCUUGAUAUGGAAAGAAGGAAGGGAAAAAAUGUUUCUUUUUAUUUAUGACCUUUUAUAUAUUAAUUAUUAUUUUUUUGUGAAAUUUAGUUGCAAUUUUUAUCGUCUGAUUUUGAUUCAAAUUCAAAGUUCGGAAUUGCUUUUUCAGUGCAUUCAGGGGAGCGAUUUUGUAGUUUGGAAUGGGUGAAAAUGGGAAGCGCUUUAGUUCUCAUCGUGAUGACGGGGAUAUCAAGGACCAAAAGAGGCAACUAGAUAGAGAAAGAGAUAGGGAUGACAAGGGGAACUAAUAGUGUAUAGGAUUCGUUGUCCUGAUGGUGCUAUUGGGAAUGUGAUUGGAAAGAGUGGAAACAUAAUUUACUCGAUCCGGCAAGAGACAAGAGCAAAGGUCAAUGUGUUGGCCCUGUUUCCUGGUGUUAGAGAUAAAAGUUAUCACAAUUUAUUGCUAUGUUAAAGAGAAAGAGGAUGUUGAAGUUUAUGAUGAAUACAAUUAUAAGGGUCCUGCCCUGUUAGGAUGCACUCCUUAAGGUGAAUGAGGCCAUUACAAAUGCCGUGGGUAUGGCCAAGGCUUUUGACAGGAAGAAUAAAAACAAAAAUAAGGAGUUUUAAGAUUCUUGUUCCUUUUAGACAGUCUGCUAAUAUUAUUGAGAAAUUUAGUACUACCAUUAAGAAGUUGAGAAAAAAGAUAAUUUUAAAUGAAUAGAUUUAGAUAUUUCAUGUAGUUUAUUUACUAAGAUAAUUUUAAAUGAAUAGAAAUUUAGUACUGCCAUUAAGAAAUCGAGUCUUUCGGUGGACAAGAUUUUAGUUAUGGAGUUCUUGCUACAAGCAAACAUGGAGCUAAGACUCAAGGUCUUGAGCAAAGAAGUUAGUCUUGGUAUGUAUGAUGGUUAGUUUUUUUUCUUUUUUUCCUCUGAAAAUUCAUUGUGUCUAAACUAUAGUUGCUGAACCUACAUGUUUUGCAUUGUCUACUUUGUUAAUAUGAGAUAUUUGACAUAUUUUUCUUCUAGCUAAUAUUUCACUGCUUUUUACAUAUUUGUUUUUCACUAAAGUUGUGGAGGUUUUUCUUAUAGGAAUCCUCAUUUAACCAAAUAAUGGAUUUAGGGUGAGCUAAAAGUAUGUCUCGUAGUUAAGAAAGUUAUUUGAUUGUCUCGUGAAUUAUUGGUUAUUUCUUCAUUUCUUUCUAGUUUUGUUUUUCUUCUUUUUAGAUAUGGUGAACUACACUAAAGCAGUUUUACCAUGAAAGGAAGAAGAUCAAAGUCUGUUGCAAGGAAAGCAUCAAGAGGUUCCAGUUUUAACAUAGAGAAACCUUUUAAGAAAGAUGAAGACUCCAUGGAAGACCAUCUCGAUAGCUCUAGCUCACCCAAGACUUUGAACAAAUUCUCUCAGAACAACAGGAAGGUAAGGAAUAUAUUUUUGAAGCUUGACAGACAUUGCCUCAUACAUAGGCUUCUUCCAUAUGCUUUAUUCUACCUGUCUUGUCAUAUUUCCAUAGACUCAACUUUUCAUGCUUAGUGACCUUGCUUUUGCAGAAUUCCAGUGCUUUCCGUCCAUCUAGCCUCACAACACUAGAUAAUCCUUGGAACCAAGGGAAGUGAAAGUUGAUCCUUGGAAACCUUUAAAUUGUUGGGUGAAUGCUACAAAUAGGAGCAAGUCUUCAAAAUUUACCUCACUAGGUUCUGCUGCUAAAUCAGAAGCUCAACUAUCCCAAGACAAUGAAUAGGAGCAAGUCUUCAAAAUUUUCUUUCCAUUCACCGCACUUUACCGUGUUUUAUCUACCAUGUUAGACACAAAAUAUAUAUUGCAAAGUUAGAUUAAAAAAUGCUAGAAAAUUAUAAUUAGAUUAAGUAGUAUAACAAUUGUUGUAUGCAGAGUCAUGUUUUUUAUUUGCACAAUAAUAGAUAUACAUGUUUGCUCUGCUUAUUUUAACUUUAGAUGUAAUCAUACUUGGUGAAUGUCAUUUAUUCGUGUUUUGAUGAAAUAUUUUGGAUUCAAU
rnacentral:lncRNA from 1 species